UGGUUCUACACUACAUGCAUAAGUACCAGCCCCGCCUGCACAUUGUCCUGUCUCCAGACCCCCACAGCCCUCUGUCAGGGGACUACCUGCACUUCACCUUCCCUGAGGCAGCCUUCAUCGCUGUCACUGCCUACCAGAACUCAGAGAUAACAAAACUCAAGAUAGACAACAACCCCUUUGCAAAAGGCUUUCGUGACAACGGGCUGAACAGAAAAAAGUUCAGAGAAAAGGAAGGACAGAGCUCUGACGAACUAAAUUAAGAUCCAGACCAGUGGAGUCAAAAGAUGAGGCUGAUGUUACCGUCUCCAGCUCUAGCUCAGUGGAUUCCCAUGGUGCAGUAGGAUACAGGACUGAUGACAUCACAUCUCUCUCUGCUGUCCCUGACCCCUUCAUCUCUGCCUUCAUGAACUGGGGAGAUGCAGCUGCAGCCCUGCCCUGUGGCCAAGAGUGAUGGAGGGUCCCGGACCAAAGGACCCACAACAACCACAAACACAACACACUUCGUACCUGGGCCUAUGACCGCCCUGGGCAGCAUAAGGAGGCCAGGAUAUUGGUUUACGAAAUGUUGCCUCUCCUCUCUUCCUCACACACCCUCCACUGGGCCAGACUCAGUUGGCUUCAGGAGACCCCUGGCACAGAGCAGCAGACCAGUGGGGCCUCACCCACCUCACCACAGAAGACCUGGUGCCACACCUCUCCCACAGCAGACCACUACCCCCCCCCCCACGGGCCAGAGUACAUGUCUCUCCAUAGUGGGGCAACGAAGAGAUAGCCAUGUGGACAUUCAAGUCCCCUCCUCCUCUCUAGAAUACCUCUAUAAGGCACCUAUGCGUGACUUGGAUGAACAGUGAGAAAUAAAGCGAUCUCUUGCUCAGUAAACACAACAGGUCACGUAGAUGUUCAAAUUUUGCCUCACCACUUGUCAAACUCUAGUGCCACCUCUGGGUAGAGUUGAGACAAAUUAAUGCAAUAUUGAGUCAUUCCAAGGUAACUGUAUAGCGCAUCUCUCUUUGCAAUGUUAGAUGUUUAAAUGUACAUAUUUUUCAGUUGUAUGAUAGGCAAGUGGUUUGCUAGGAGAAGGAACUGGAGACUAUUCUGCCCUGACAUUUGAUUAGUAUAAUGAGUAAAGGGAACUAAUAAUAUGCAUCACAUCAGAACUCAGUAUGUCACAUAUUCUCCCUUUUUCUCUGGACAUUGUAAAUCAUGUGAGAUUUUGUGCAAGAUGUACCUGUACAUGCAGAAGAACAGUGGCUUAUCAAAUAAUAGAACAUGAUAAUUAGACUCCUGAUGUUUUGAUGUUAACAUUAGCCCAUCUGUUAGUGUCUGUAUCGUCAUGCCAGAAGAGUUGGCUACAUCCACUACACAGUAUGGAAGGAGGAUAAUGUAACAGGCCACUGGUAACAAAUUCUCUGAAAGAAUACUGAGGAAACUGUAUGAGGCAGACAUUUAUUAUAGGGCAGCACAUAAUACUUUGCCACAGAGUCGAGGAUAUGAGUGUGAUUUUCACAUGCUGAAAUAUCCAUGCUAGACCAGUUUUCCAGUAUUAUUUAACAGUCUAGAAAAUGGAUGAAUUCACACAAACAUUUAUUGAGUCUGAAUAGAUACAUUUCAAUAAUGGGUGAUCAAUUUAAACAUGUUUCAUUACAGAUACUCUAUAGAUAAAGAUACAAGUUAAAAGGCAUACAAUGUUUGGUCUUCCACCUACAUUCUAGAUCCGAAAGGUAUAUUUUCUGAUCUGAAAGUUGCUUCUACCCUGCUGAAAUUACACCAUCCAUUCAUAGUAAUACAUGAGAUAUUUUUGAAAGAGCAUUGACACAAAAAUUAGAUGCUAAAAAAAGAACAUACAACAGGAGUUUUUCAGCUGAACAAAAACACAAUUUGACCAGGGAAAGCCAUCAUCAGUAUGUCCAGAUGGAAAUGUUGAUGUGUUCUGACUUUAUACAAUUCAAACCAGCCAUUUCAUGAAACACAAUACAGGUUCCCCUCUACAUUUACAGUACUGUAUCACACUGUUUAUCAUUCAAAUUUUACGGUCUAGUCUACUACUAUGUAAAUCUUACAAGCGGAGAUUAUAAUAAAAUAUAUACAGUAUUCUUUUGGUGAUCAGUAGGGAUUAGAUAAUGACAUUUCUCCCCCAGACCAGAGAUAUACCACAGUUGGCAGCAGGUUGACAUUACUGUAAAAAAAUGACAUAUUAGAAAAAAUGAUGCUGAGGUCACGGAUUCAGAAAGUGGUUAGAUUUCCCCUAAAACGCUAAAACAAAUUUUCAUAAAAUGAAGCCAAUAUAAAAUGAACUCCACAACAAGACAGUCCAACUCAAAUGUAUGGCAAAACAAACUGAAAUGUAUUCUUGUGUUUGAAGCACAUUGGGUAAGGAAUGUGGAGAAAACUGAUACAUGAUUGGAUGGUCAACAGGUCGUGGCAGCAUUGCAUUCCUAGAAAAAGAUCAUAGGCAGCAAGCACCCUGUAAAAACGUGAAAGUAAAUAGUCAGGUAAACUG